rnacentral:tRNA from 1 species
GCCCUCGUAGCUCAGGGGAUAGAGCACGCGCCUCCGGAGCGCGGUGCGCAGGUUCGAAUCCUGCCGGGGGCA